AACGAACGCUGGCGGCAGGCUUAACACAUGCAAGUCGAGCGCCCCGCAAGGGGAGCGGCAGACGGGUGAGUAACACGUGGGAACGUACCUUUUGCUACGGAAUAGCUCCGGGAAACUGGAAUUAAUACCGUAUGUGCCCUUCGGGGGAAAGAUUUAUCGGCAAAAGAUCGGCCCGCGUCUGAUUAGCUAGUUGGUGGGGUAAUGGCCUACCAAGGCGACGAUCAGUAGCUGGUCUGAGAGGAUGAUCAGCCACACUGGGACUGAGACACGGCCCAGACUCCUACGGGAGGCAGCAGUGGGGAAUAUUGGACAAUGGGCGCAAGCCUGAUCCAGCAAUGCCGCGUGUGUGAAGAAGGUCUUCGGAUCGUAAAGCACUUUCGACGGGGACGAUGAUGACGGUACCCGUAGAAGAAGCCCCGGCUAACUUCGUGCCAGCCGCCGCCGUAAGAC
rnacentral:rRNA from 1 species